CGGCCCGCCAGCAUCUCCGGGCGCCGCGGGGCCUCCGCGAAGAGGUGGCGAUAGGAGGCGGCCAGCGCCGACGGCUCCGCGCUGUAGCUCAUGGCGGCGGAGGGGGACCGGCGGCGGUGCCGGCGCUUAUGUGACCAGAGGACAGCAUGAGGGAGUUCCAGCAAACGAGCAGGGAGGACAAACAAGUCAGGGCUGGCAUUGGAGAGAGCUGUGACUUCCAAAAGAGCUGUUGCUGUGGUUGAGCAAUACCUUCAGUGCAGGUAGCUCGAUGUGCAGUUGCAUCAUCCACUGCACAUGAACAAGCAGUCCAUGUUUUGAUGGCAGAGCAUUCCAGGCGGAGAGCCUUGGCACAGGUGGGGCUGCCAGCUAUCCUCGCCCUGGCCUGGGCUGCCUGGCUCACACUGCUGGGGCAGAAAUCCUUUUCUUGGUCUGUUUUUUUUUCCCCAGGUAUUUAAUGUACUACUCACACACAAGUGCAUUUUACCAUUUCCUCAGUGUCUCCUACUCUGCACUACAAUAUCCUAAGUCAGGGUUUACUGCUGCGAGUAACUGAUCACAGAAAUGAGGAGUUUCCAGCUCUGCUUAGUUAUGCGUGUGGUAUUGCUUUGAUGAUUUUGCUCUGAUGCUUAUUACUAAUGAUAGAGGCUUCUGUGGUUCUCUUUGUCAUGGAAAAGUGGAGUGCAGCUUACCCUGGCUUCCUCACUCAUGCUGUUGUAGCACUGCCAUACAUAUGUACCCUAACAGCUGAGUUAGGAGAGCCACUGUCUCCUCCAGCACAUGAACUACAAGGUAGCAGAAGUGCUGAUUUCCAUGAGGAAAGACCCUGGGAUAAAACACCCUUUGCCUCUGGGAAAGGGGUCAAGGUGUUCUGACACAAUUUACACACCCAGAAGGAGGCUGCAUGGAACAGAUGAGACCUGUGCCAGUUACUGGUGAGAGUGCUGGAACCGUGUGGCUGAAUGAGCACAAGGGAUCAGGGUCACUGAGUUACAGUGAGCACUGCUGUCCUGCAGAACAAGGCUCUGACUCCAAGGCUGGAGAAAAGCUGAACACUGGCAUGUCAGACCUGAAAAGACAUGACAAGCUGGACAAGUGGGCACAAACUGAAAGCACAGCAGUGCCUGUGAUAUAUUCACCAUCAGGAAACCUUGGCACUUGAGUAACUGUUGUGCACAGACACAUGGCAUCAGGAGGAGCUUUAUGAGGCUAGAAAACAAGCAGAAAACCAAAGAGAAGCAGUCCCAUAGCUAAGAAUUGUACACCAAUGAAACAACAAAGGGUUGUGUUAGGGAUUAAAUUACCCAGGACCAUUCUGUACCUCCUAGUUACUUCAAAAAUCAAGUCCUGCAUGUGAGGCAGCAGGAGGACUCCUUAAAGCUCUGUGCUACUCUCCACACAGCAUCUGCCUGCUGACGAGGCUCAUUAAACCACUUAUCUCCCGAGCAA